rnacentral:rRNA from 1 species
GAUGAACGCUAGCGACAGGCUUAACACAUGCAAGUCGAGGGGCAGCGAGGGCGUAGCAAUACGCCUGUCGGCGACCGGCGCACUGGUGAGUAACACGUAUGCGACCUGCCCCCUACAGGGGUAUAACCCGUAGAAAUGCGGACUAAUCCCCCCAUAGUCCUGGGUGCUGCAUGGCAUUCAGGGGAAAGGCCAGCCGGUAGGGGAUGGGCAUGCGGCGCAUUAGCUAGUUGGCGGGGCAACGGCCCACCAAGGCGACGAUGCGUAGGGGUUCUGAGAGGAAGGUCCCCCACACUGGUACUGAGACACGGACCAGACUCCUACGGGAGGCAGCAGUGAGGAAUAUUGGUCAAUGGGCGCAGGCCUGAACCAGCCAAGUCGCGUGAGGGAAGACGGUCCUACGGAUUGUAAACCUCUUUUGUCGGGGAGUAACGUGCGGGACGGGUCCCGUAUUGAGAGUACCCGAAGAAAAAGCAUCGGCUAACUCCGUG